rnacentral:lncRNA from 10 species
GUGCUAGAGAGCGCCUGUAAUCCCAGCUACUGGGGAGGCUGAGGUAGGAGUAUCGCUUGAAUUUGGGAGGUGGAGGUUGUAGUGAGCUGACACCAAAACUGGACAAAUUGGGCCACUAAGAGUCUGUGUCACAUGAGGACUUUUGUUUAUGGCUGGGACUGAGGACCUAUGAAGCCAGAAGCAGUUACGUGCAGGGAGAAGGGAGAAAGGGCCUGAAAGAGGAAAGAAGGAAGCAAUGGUAAGGCCAAGAAAUGAGUGGGGGAUACUCUGUGAAAAUCUCAGGGCAGCUCCGAGAGUGAAAGGCUUAUUCCUUCAUCUCCCGUGGCCUCGAGUGGUUUCCCUUUCUCCUGAUGUCCUCCUGUCCUUGGAGUUUGACAUACCCCUGUUUUCUUCUGUUUUUU